CUACUACUCCCUCCAUUCCAAAUUACUCGUCACAGAAAUGGAUGUAUCUAGAACUAAAAUACAUCUAGAUACAUCCAUACCCGCGACAAGUAAUUAGGAACGGAGGGAGUACCUC
rnacentral:pre_miRNA from 1 species